UACGGGGGGAGCAAGCGUUGUUCGGAUUUACUGGGCGUAAAGGGCGCGUAGGCGGCCACCGCAGGUCAGUUGUGAAAUCUCUGGGCUUAACCCAGAAAGGUCAACUGAUACUGCGGGGCUAGAGUGCAGAAGGGGCAACUGGAAUUCUCGGUGUAGCGGUGAAAUGCGUAGAUAUCGAGAGGAACACCUGCGGCGAAGGCGGGUUGCUGGGCUGACACUGACGCUGAAGCGCGAAAGCUAGGGGAGCGAACGGG
rnacentral:rRNA from 1 species